AUUCUUUUAGUAUUGAUCAAUACAAUUGACUUCCAAUCAAUAAACUUCGGCAUGAAUCCGAAAAAGAAUA
rnacentral:tRNA from 1 species